GGUAGAAAUGUUUGAGAAGGAGAGAGAAGAGAGAACAGAAGAGGAGAAGGGAGGGGAGAUCAGAAUGAAUUCAUGGAAAUCUUGUCAAGGUCAAAUCCAUUUGGAAUACUCAACCAAAAUGAAGACCUGUGAGCAAGCCUAUCUGCCUGUUAGUGGUCUAUGAUGUGAAGGUAGGGGAGUGGUGAUCAGUCCCUGGGCUGUCGUUGUUCUGGACAGCAGAGGCAACUGAGGGCCCUGGAGCAGGUAUCAUUCUGCCGGUGCUGGGAGUGUGCAAGCUGGUUGGCGUUUCAAUGUUGAGGAUCACUCUUCAAGUGUUGACCAGAUUGACAGAG